rnacentral:lncRNA from 1 species
UUGGGCUAUGUAACAAAAAGCUUAUAAUAUCAUAAAUAUUUGUAGCUAUUUUAGAUGUUGGAUUGUAGACUAUAAUACCAAAUAUUUGUUUUAAUAUGGAUGUAGUGAAAUUUAUUGCUAAAUUAUGUAAGAUAGGAUCUAGGUUGCUAGAAGGUCCUUCAUUCAUUGCUUGUUUUUUGUAAUUGAUCAAUUAAGUAAGUUAAAGGCUAUAGUUAAAUGACUUAGUAGUAUUAUUGGGUUUAUUUUCACUAAAGUAUCUAUCAGAUGUAAAAGAUUGAUAUUGAUCAAAACUUAAUCUUAGAUUUGAACUAGCAUUUUGAAAGGAUAUGGAUAUUUAUUUACUAUCUU